rnacentral:ribozyme from 1 species
CAGUAUCAAACAUAUUAUCAUACCACUACCCGUGGAUGUG